UUGGAUUAACUUGACCAGCGUGAAGGUCAUUUACCUUUCUUCCUGCGUUAUUCGCCAAAAGGCUGAAGAUAAGGGUGCCACAGUAUCCAUUUAUGGAUUUAUUAUUGGUACCAACUGCCUGACAUCGUUUCUUGUCACACUCCUUUUAUUGGAAAAACCUAAAAGUUAGUGGCGUUCGGUUCACCUUUGUUUCUGGAGUUUUCAUUGGAGGUAUUUGCUGCUUAUUAUCGGGCUUUUUAGAGUAUUUCCCUCCCGGGGGUUCAUUCGUCGUAAUAUCUAUAUUGUUCCGCGUCAUUCACGCUGCCGGAAACGCUGGAACAAUUACGGCGACGUUUACGUACACUGGUGUGGAGUUUCCCAAUUCCGUUGCCAAAAUCUUUAAUCUUACAAGAACCAUGAUGAACAUUGCCCAGCUUGCUGGUCCUAUAGUCGGCGGUGCAUUGUACGAAGUCGGUGGUGUUAAGACUCCCUUUAUCCUCAUGGGCGGAAUUCAAACUUUUAUGGCCUUUAUGGCAUUACCCUUUCUUCCCGAUUAUGACGUGUCACAGUAUGACGAGGGAUCGACUAAAACUCAAUCGCCAUUGGCUAUUUUGUGUAUUCCAUCCAUUUGGAUCCCGUUCUUCACGUUCAUCGUAUCGACAUGUCGAACGGGUUCCUCUCGAUCAACCUUGAACCGCAAGUGUUGCGUACGUUUGACUUGACACCAUUUUACGUGGGUAUCUUUUUCGAACUGAAAGACGGUGCCAACAGUAUAGCCAGCCCUAUUUGGGGAUACUUGUGCGAUCGCCGUGGACCUGUGAAGCUCUGCCUUUUUUCCAGUACCAUGAUCGGAGCCUUGUCCAUAUUUUUGCUGGGGCCUUUUCGCUUCGUUCCUAUUGAUCGAAAUCUAGCUGUUGUCGGUAUCGCAUUGGCACAAAGUGGAGUUGCGUUUGCAGGGCAACAAGUUUCGGGGGUCGUUGAUGCCAUGAGAGAAG